GGAAACGUGGCCGAGUGGUUGAAGGCAACAGUCUUGAAAACUGUCGACGGGGGAACCCGUUCGUGAGUUCGAAUCUCACCGUUUCCGCCA
rnacentral:tRNA from 1 species